rnacentral:rRNA from 1 species
GACUCACGCGGGAAUCUUACCGGGUCCGGACACACUGAGGAUUGACAGACAAAUAUGGAAAUUUUAUAUUUCUCAUAUAUAAAGAUGCUAGUUCUUUCAUGAUUAUGUGAUAGGUGGUGCAUGGCCGUUCUUAGUUCGUGGAGUGAUCUGUCUGCUUAAUUGCGUUUCAAUUUUUAUUAUGUAUACGUAUGACCCACGUUUACGCGUGCGAGUCUAGUAUGCUAUCAUUUGAAAGCAACGAACGUGACCGUAUCCUUUUAUUAUAUACGCACGCGUAUAUUUAUUCAUUAAAGGGACCGCUGUUUCUUUUUUUAAACCAGAGGAAGGUUACGGCAAUAACAGGUCUGUGAUGCCCUUCGAUGUUCCGGGCUGCACACGUGCUACAAUGAUUAUUUCAUUAAGUAUCUACUAUACUGCACAUUAUGUGUAUUAAAACCUACCCUGAGAAUGGGCGGGUAAUCAAUUAGAAGUAAUGAUUUCCUUUUUUUUAUACGCAACUAUGUACCGUAUAUUACAUCCCAUAAUAUUUUUUUU